rnacentral:piRNA from 1 species
UGGUGACAUGGAGCAGAUCUGUGACAUAAAU